UAGGGAAUCUUCGGCAAUGGACGGAAGUCUGACCGAGCAACGCCGCGUGAGUGAAGAAGGUUUUCGGAUCGUAAAGCUCUGUUGUUAGAGAAGAACGUUGGUAGGAGUGGAAAAUCUACCAAGUGACGGUAACUAACCAGAAAGGGACGGCUAACUACGUGCCAGCAGCCGCGGUAAUACGUAGGUCCCGAGCGUUGUCCGGGUUUAUUGGGCGUAAAGCGAGCGCAGGCGGUUCUUUAAGUCUGAAGUUAAAGGCAGUGGCUUAACCAUUGUACGCUUUGGAAACUGGAGGACUUGAGUGCAGAAGGGGAGAGUGGAAUUCCAUGUGUAGCGGUGAAAUGCGUAGAUAUAUGGAGGAACACCGGUGGCGAAAGCGGCUCUCUGGUCUGUAACUGACGCUGAGGCUCGAAAGCGUGGGGAGCAAACAGG
rnacentral:rRNA from 1 species